GGCAGAGGGUGCAAACGUUGUUCGGAAUUACUGGGCGUAAAGCGUGUGUAGGCGGCUACGUAAGUCGGAUGUGAAAGCCCCAGGCUCAACCUGGGAAGUGCACUCGAUACUGCGUAGCUUGAGUAUCGGAGAGGUUGGUGGAAUUCUCGGUGUAGAGGUGAAAUUCGUAGAUAUCGAGAGGAACACCGGUGGCGAAGGCGGCCAACUGGACGAAUACUGACGCUGAGACACGAAAGCGUGGGGAGCAAACAGG
rnacentral:rRNA from 1 species